UAAUGAGUAAGGAAAACAAAGCGAGCGGUGAGAGCCGUUUGCCGCGCCCACUCCAGGAUAUUUUUUGAAUGUUCAUUGGUUUACUUUGGUGCGUGAAAUGAUUUAUGCAAUCGAUGUGGGAUGGAAUUGAGGGCCCAAUCCAAUAAUCCAACGCCGCGAACUUUGGGCUUCAUGUUUCUUGUUUAUGUUUUGCCUUCUGUCAACAGAUGUUUCCACUGCCCCACAACGAAUGACUGAAUUUAAGAAUUAAGAGAGUGCAGAGCGAAUUACAUCAGAUUUGAGAUAAAUUUACCUUCAAUUUGUUAAAAUUGAAUUUGAAAAUUUUUAUCCGCGUUUACAUC